rnacentral:rRNA from 1 species
ACGGGGUGCAGCAGGCGCGAAAACUCCGCAAUACACGAAAGUGUGACGGGGGAACCCCAAGUGCUCUCGCGCAAGCGAGUGCUUUUGUGAAGUGUAAAUAGCUUCAUGAAUAAGAGCUGGGUAAGACCGGUGCCAGCCGCCGCGGUAACACCGGCAGCUCGAGUGGUGAUCACUAUUAUUGGGCCUAAAGCGUCCGUAGCCGGUUUGAUAAGUCCUUGGGCAAAUCCUGCCGCUUAACGACAGGAAUUCUGAGGAUACUGUCAGACUUGAGGCCGAGAGAGGUCGGAGGUACUUCUGGGGUAGCGGUGAAAUGCUAUAAUCCUAGUGGGACCACCAGUGGCGAAAGCGUCCGACUAGAGCGGGCCUGACGGUAAGGGACGAAAGCCAGGGGAGCGAACGGGAUUAGAUACCCCGGUAGUCCUGGCCGUAAACGCUGUGGGCUAGGUGUUGCAUGCUCUACGAGGGCGUGCAGUGCCGAAGAGAAGUUGAUAAGCCUACCGCCUGGAAGUACUAUCGCAAGAU